rnacentral:rRNA from 1 species
GAUGAACGCUGGCGGCGUGCCUAAUACAUGCAAGUCGAGCGAACGGACGAGAAGCUUGCUUUUCUGAUGUUAGCGGCGGACGGGUGAGUAACAAGUGGAUAACCUACCUAUCAGACUGGGAUAACUUCGUGAAACCGGAGCUAAUACCGGAGAAUAUUCUGAACCGCAUGGUUCAAAAGUGAAAUACGGUCUUGCUGUCACUUCUAGAUGGAUCCGCGCUGCAUUAGCUAGUUGGUAAGGUACCGGCUUACCAAGGCAACGAUGCAUAGCCGACCUGAGAGGGUGAUCGGCCACACUGGAACUGAGACACGGUCCAGACUACUACGGGAGGCAGCAGUAGGGAAUCUUCCGCAAUUGGCGAAAGCCUGACGGAGCAACGCCGCGUGAGUGAUGAAGGUCUUCGGAUCGUAAAACUCUGUUAUUAGGGAAGAACAUAUGUGUAAGUAUCUGUGGACGUCUUGACGGUACCGAAUCAGAAAGCCACGGCUAACUACGUG